GGGGGGGGAUUCACAGCAUCUGUCUCUCCUUCAACAUGAUGACAGUCCAUCCUCAAUCUAGAAUUAGGGCUUGAAGGGAUAGCUGGGGACAUUGGGAUCUUGCCCCCUUCUUUACAAAGGGGAUCGAAUUCAAAAGCCGCCUGAGGUACUGGCCUGGUUGGAAGAGGGGGUCUCACUAGAAGCACUACUGAGCCCUAGAAGGAAUACUGCCGAGAAAAGUCUGAGUGUAGCCAGGUCACCCGCUUGGUGCUCUGUGCCUGGGAGCGUAAGGUAUAGCCCCAAAGUAAGAUUGGCUUCAAGUCCUCCAAGACACCUGCUUCCACUGCUGGAUGCACCAGACCUGGUUUUGAAGGAAGUACAGUGGCCACAGGAUUACAGAUUUCAGCUGUGUGCAAAUGUGUUCACACAGGUCGAACGGCGGCGGGGUAUGUCUGGAGUGACUCUCAGGAGCCAGAUUUCUGCUGCCUGGUCUCACAGUGUCAGGGAAACCAGAGGAGGCUCCUGCCUCUGCUAGGCCCUAGAAAGACAUGCAGGCUGAGUGUCAGGAACUCCUCCGACCCAGCUUUGCUGAACUCUAGGCCCAGGGUUUGCAGGAUCCACAGCCACCAGCCCCUGGCCACCUCAGUUCCGGCUCCUCACCACCCCAGCCCUGUCAGCAGGCAAUCUCCUACUCUCUUCCUUUCAAGCUCCCACACUGUGAAAAGUCCAGUUAGCCAGACUUCCCCCCCACAGAGAGAGCCUGGUUGGGUCACUUCCCUUGUUCUGGAGCUUUCUCUACCCCCAGCUCCCUGGUGGUAGUCCCGCUUUCGGAGUAGGACUUUACACCCAGCAGAAGAACCCCGGAAGGUUUCUAUCAGUUAUAUGACACAUACACUGUGCACCUUCUCCGUAAUUUCUGUGGAGGAUUGAGUCCUUAGUCUAGUUACCUGCAGUAUUUAUAAACCAAAUAAAAUUUCCUUCCAAGUUCCCAACUGAGUCAGGUCCUGUGGCAAAGCUCUGUCUCUAGCCUGGAGACAACUGGACCACCUGACUGCCGGCUGGAGUGUGGUGUGGCCACCGCCUCUUUUGUUAACAGGACAGUUGAUCCAUUAAAUUAAAAAUCAGUCAAUAGAUCCAUUUUUUCCUAACGUGUGUGAAUACACAUUCCACCCUAAUUCUCAGACAUCAAUGCCAGCGGAGGUAGGGAACUACCAAGGGACGUUUCCACAAGUGGCCCCAAUAGGAAACUACCGGAAUAACCUCAUCACCAGAAUCCAGGAUAGCCAGAGGAACCUGGCUAGGGGCCAUCACUAAACCCCCAGUUCCCCCAACUCACUUUCUAGCAUGCCCCACUUGGGCAGACGCUGAAAUGCGGGGAUGCAGACAGAGCUGUGGGUCAGCCCCAGUGGCACUGGGGAUCCGGCAUGAGGCCCCUUGCGGCUUCUCUCUGCGCGCUGAACGCGCAGACACAAUUGGGGGGGACGGGGUAGUCUUCUUCCCACCGGGUUUUUAAGUAGCAGGAUUUUCAGAUGCAAACAAACAAACAAAAAGCCUCCUGAGGUGGGCGGUAAAAAAAAAAAAAAAAAAUCAAAGCCUCUACAUCCGAGCCAGAAACAAAAGCUCUUUGGAAGUGCCGCGGCGGGCGGGCGGAGUGCAUCUCGGAUCCCGAGGAGGAGCCGCCCGGACCCGCAUCCGGAGAAGGAGCCGGCGGGUGUCCCCACCUGCUCGCCGGCCGCUCAGUCCUGUCCCCGAGAGGAGGAAGGCGGCCAGAGGCACCACAACCACAAAUUUAUGGCCUGGGUGACGUGCUUUCCUCUCCCACAAUGGGGCCUGGUGACAUUAAACAGAAAAUUGAUGAGAGG
ensembl:lncRNA